rnacentral:rRNA from 1 species
GACGGAGGAUGCAAGUGUUAUCCGGAAUCACUGGGCGUAAAGCGUCUGUAGGUGGUUUAAAAAGUCCACUGUUAAAAAUUGAAGCUUAACUUCAAAGAUGCCGUGGAAACUUUUAAACUUGAGUAUGGUAGGGGUAGAGGGAAUUUCCAGUGGAGCGGUGAAAUGCGUAGAUAUUGGAAAGACCACCAACGGCGAAAGCACUCUGCUGGGCCGACACUGACACUGAGAGACGAAAGCUAGGGGAGCGAAUGGG